rnacentral:rRNA from 1 species
UACGUAGGGUGCAAGCGUUGUCCGGAAUUAUUGGGCGUAAAGGGCGCGUAGGCGGUUUGCUAAGUUGGAUGUGAAAACUCUGGGCUUAACCCAGAGCCUGCAUCCAAAACUGGCAAACUUGAGUACUGGAGGGGAAAGCGGAAUUCCUGGUGUAGCGGUGAAAUGCGUAGAUAUCUGGAGGAACACCGGUGGCGAAGGCGGCAUACUGGACGUUAUCUGACGCUGAGGCGCGAAAGCCAGGGGAGCAAACGGG